UUUUAUCACGGGCAGCCUUUCCAUGAAUAAUACUUUCUUUAGCAAGCACUUUCCUACAAAGUCUGAUGGGAGUAAGCCUUCAUUUCUUGUUCCUGGCUUUAAUGGAGAAAAUGAUUGCAAAUAUUCUCUUCAUCCCAGACUACAAAGGAGAUACUACCACCUUGCUUGGCCCAGGAAACUCUGUCAUGCUGUGAAAAAGUGGCCAAAGGGAGUCUCAGCUGCAGUGAGCCAACUAUUUCAUCUGGUUUUCAAUUAAACAAACCAAACCAGGAGAAGUGUGCUGAGGGAUUCUGUGUCAGUCCAACAUUUUCCAAGGGAUGUUCUACAUAGUUUCCAUCUUACAUGCUGGCUUCAAAACUGAGCUUCUAUGUAAAUGUGAUUCUGCUAUGCCUGAGGAUUGGAUUCCUUUGCCAAAUCUCAAUUCAGAUAUUUCAUAAUUGAGUUAUCAGGAAAUAUAUAUAAAAUAAAUCUCAUCAUUUUUUGCCUCUAACUUCUUAUGUUGCAUUGUUGUGUUU
rnacentral:lncRNA from 1 species